rnacentral:rRNA from 1 species
AAGCAUAUCAAUAAGCGGAGGAAAAGAAACCAACAGGGAUUGCCUCAGUAACGGCGAGUGAAGCGGCAACAGCUCAGAUUUGAAACCUGGCCCGGCCCGGAUUGUAAUCUGUAGAAGGUGCCUCGGGUGCGACUCCGGUUCAAGUUCCUUGGAACAGGGCGUCAUAGAGGGUGAGAAUCCCGUACGUGCCCGGAAGUCAACCCCAUGUGAGGCCCUUUCGACGAGUCGAGUUGUUUGGGAAUGCAGCUCUAAAUGGGUGGUAAAUUUCAUCUAAAGCUAAAUACCGGCCAGAGACCGAUAGCGCACAAGUAGAGUGAUCGAAAGAUGAAAGCACUUUGAAAGAGAGUUAAAAGUACGUGAAAUUGUUGAAAGGGAAGCGCUUGCACCAGACUCGCGCGCG